AGUGAACGCUGGCGGUAGGCCUAACACAUGCAAGUCGAACGGCAGCACAGUAAGGGCUUGCUCUUACGGGUGGCGAGUGGCGGACGGGUGAGGAAUACAUCGGAAUCUACUUUUUCGUGGGGGAUAACGUAGGGAAACUUACGCUAAUACCGCAUACGACCUACGGGUGAAAGCAGGGGAUCUUCGGACCUUGCGCGAUUGAAUGAGCCGAUGUCGGAUUAGCUAGUUGGCGGGGUAAAGGCCCACCAAGGCGACGAUCCGUAGCUGGUCUGAGAGGAUGAUCAGCCACACUGGAACUGAGACACGGUCCAGACUCCUACGGGAGGCAGCAGUGGGGAAUAUUGGACAAUGGGCGCAAGCCUGAUCCAGCCAUACCGCGUGGGUGAAGAAGGCCUUCGGGUUGUAAAGCCCUUUUGUUGGGAAAGAAAAGCAGCAGGUUAAUACCCCGCUGUUCUGACGGUACCCAAAGAAUAAGCACCGGCCAACUUCGUG
rnacentral:rRNA from 1 species